rnacentral:rRNA from 1 species
UCGCUCCUACCGAUUUCGAGUGGUCCGGUGAAUCUUUUGGACUGCGCGCGGUCUCGAACCGCGCGCGGGAAGUCAGGUAAACCUUGUCACUUAGAGGAAGGAA